rnacentral:lncRNA from 1 species
GCCGUUUCCCAGUUUUGCGCCAGCAAAAAUGGCCUUGUUACAUUAUACGGCAACUCGAUUAAAUCGACUAUAGUUCAGAACUGCUGGCAGUGCGGUACCUCUCAAUAUAAAGAUGCGAGUUCGGAGUGCUGUCACGAUUCGGACAUGGAUUCGGACGGGGCGGUCAUACAUGCAUGGGGCGGCCAAUACCGGCCUUCACAGACAGCCACCGGCAACUGGCGAGGCGCAUCCACAAAGGAGCUAUCGAAAUGUACGGCACCAGCAGCGGCGGCCGCAUCUCCGAAACCGGCUAUAGUUGCCGGGAAGCCGGCUACCGUCCUCCGAUCACCUGUUCCUGGUUUCGUAACACAGCCAGCCGCGCAUCAACUUCCAAUUCUAAGCUCUUCAGCUGCCUCCUAGCUCUUCUUUCCGCUUCAAGUCAUUGAUCUCCCGGAUCGCCUCACCUUCCGUACCGCCAGCCAGCUCCUAGUGCUGCAGCCUUUCAGCCCUUACAUCCAAAGAGACAUGACUAAGCAUCAGCCACCCUGUGUAUGUGCUCGCUUCCGUUUCUGCUCCUGACCUCCCAAACCAUACAUAUAUCUGAUACUUGCUCAUUGGCUACUCCUUGUGUUUUGCCCUGGCCUUUAGACGUAUUGUUCCGCGUUGCGAAGUAUUUUGAUUAUCGACCUUUUGGAUUCCUAGCCGACCCUCAACGCUCUUAAAACUCUUUAUUUUCGAGCAUCAUUACGUGUGUGCACAUGUAUAUGUUCUUCUCCUAGCAACAUCGCCGCUACGUGGGCAAGCGUCUACACGCAUCACGUGGUACCCUCGUGGUGCUCAUGAUGAUCAACCUUAACCGCAUGCUGCACGUUGUCUGUUCCCAUAUCCGGUACACCAUGCAAAAUAGCAGAAGGCAGUGCUCUCCUAGGGUGUGCGCAGAAAGGCCAGAUGUUUGGUUUACCCAUCCCGUCCACAUGGGCGGUAAUCCUUGUC